GACGAACGCUGGCGGCGUGCUUAACACAUGCAAGUCGAACGGUGAAGCGCCUUCCUUUUUGGUGGGUGUGGAUGAGAGGCGAACGGGUGAGUAACACGUGAGUAACCUGCCCCCUUCUUCUGGAUAACCGCAUGAAAGUGUGGCUAAUACGGGAUAUUCUGGGUCUGUCGCAUGAUGGGUCUGGGAAAGAUAUUGUUUCGGUGGGGGAUGGGCUCGCGGCCUAUCAGCUUGUUGGUGGGGUGAUGGCCUACCAAGGCGGCGAUGAGUAGCCGGCCUGAGAGGGGGGUGGGCGGCCCUAGAAGGGCGGAGCCACGGCCCAGACUCCUGGGGGAGGCAGCAGGGGAGAAUAUGGCACAGUGGGCGGAAGGCUGAUGCAGCGCCGCCGCAGGAGGGAUGGAGGCCUGCGGGUUGUGAACCUCUUUCGCGAGUGAAGCAGGCUUGCCGCGUUUGUGGGUGGGUUGACGGUAGCUGGAUAAGAAGCGCCGGCUAACUACGUG
rnacentral:rRNA from 1 species